rnacentral:pre_miRNA from 1 species
UCUUUGGAAUGAUCAAAGGAAGUAGUUUCUUGAGAUAGAAUCCACUCCUGGUGAAGAUGCUGUGAA